AUCAUCUUCCAGAUUUGCCAGUUCCUAUACUAUUCUAUGGAGUAGAUUAACUAUAUUUUACUUAUCACUUCAAUCUUUAUUACAUUGCCUGCAUAAAAUAGAAACUGUUGAGACUGGUAAGACAAUGAAGCAAGAACUGGCAAGGCCAAUGAAAAUGGAGAAUCUAAAGAGAAGCUUUGUGAUCCUGUAAAAAUAUGUAUUCCUUUAUGGGAUAAUUGUUUACUCAGAGAAGCAUGACUAACUUCUGCACCUCCUAUGUGUUACACUAGAUUUUUGUCACCUUGUUUAGAAGAAACCUGGGACCCCCACAGCCUUACUCAGGAACACCUAAUCUUUGACUUGGAAUAUACAAAAUCCAGCUGGAAGCACUAGGGCGUGCCAAUAAAUAAUGCAGACUCCACCUCCUUACCACUUUGCCCUGCCCACAAGCAGCCCAGACUCUGAGCCAUUCUGUCCACACUGUCCACACACCUUAUACAGCCACAUCCUUUUAAUAAAUAAAAAGUGCUUUUUUAAAAAAUUAUAUAAUUACCACUUUGCCCUGCCCACAAGCAGCCCAGACUCUGAGCCAUUCUGUCCACACACCUUAUACAGCCAUAUCCUUUUUAUAAAUAAAGAGUGCAUUUUUAAA